rnacentral:rRNA from 1 species
AUUGAACGCUGGCGGCAUGCCUUACACAUGCAAGUCGAACGGUAACAGGUCUUCGGAUGCUGACGAGUGGCGAACGGGUGAGUAAUACAUCGGAACGUGCCUAGUAGUGGGGGAUAACUACUCGAAAGAGUGGCUAAUACCGCAUGAGAUCUACGGAUGAAAGCAGGGGAUCGCAAGCCCUUGUGCUACUAGAGCGGCCGAUGGCAGAGUAGGUAGUUGGUGGGAUAAAAGCUUACCAAGCCGACGAUCUGUAGCUGGUCUGAGAGGACGAUCAGCCACACUGGGACUGAGACACGGCCCAGACUCCUACGGGAGGCAGCAGUGGGGAAUUUUGGACAAUGGGCGAAAGCCUGAUCCAGCAAUGCCGCGUGCAGGAUGAAGGCCUUCGGGUUGUAAACUGCUCUUGUACGGAACGAAAAGCCCCGGGUUAAUACCCUGGGGUCAUGACGGUACCGUAAGAAUCAGCACCGGCUAACUACGUGCCAGCCGCCGCAGUAA